GUGCUCACUUAUGCAGCAGGCAUACUAACACUGGAACAACACAGAGAAGAUUGGCAUAGCCCCUGUGCAAGGAUGGCAUGCAAUUCCUGAAGUGUUUAAUACUUUC
ensembl:snRNA U6 U6 spliceosomal RNA